AUUGAAAUACCGGUUCCCAUACAAUCACCAGAAGUUAAGCAAUAUUGAGCCUGGUCAGUACCUAGAUGGGAAAUUGCUUGGGAAUACCAGGUGUUGUAAG
rnacentral:rRNA from 1 species